UACGAAGGGGGCUAGCGUUGCUCGGAAUCACUGGGCGUAAAGCGCACGUAGGCGGAUCGUUAAGUCAGGGGUGAAGUCCUGGAGCUCAACUCCAGAACUGCCUUUGAUACUGGCGACCUUGAGUUCGGGAGAGGUGAGUGGAACUGCGAGUGUAGAGGUGAAAUUCGUAGAUAUUCGCAAGAACACCAGUGGCGAAGGCGGCUCACUGGCCCGAUACUGACGCUGAGGUGCGAAAGCGUGGGGAGCAAACAGG
rnacentral:rRNA from 1 species